rnacentral:rRNA from 1 species
GAUGAACGCUGGCGGCGUGCUUAACACAUGCAAGUCGAACGGGAAAUAUUUCAUUGAGACUUCGGUGGAUUUGAUCUAUUUCUAGUGGCGGACGGGUGAGUAACGCGUGGGUAACCUGCCUUAUACAGGGGGAUAACAGUCAGAAAUGGCUGCUAAUACCGCAUAAGCGCACAGAGCUGCAUGGCUCAGUGUGAAAAACUCCGGUGGUAUAAGAUGGACCCGCGUUGGAUUAGCUGGUUGGUGGGGUAACGGCCCACCAAGGCGACGAUCCAUAGCCGGCCUGAGAGGGUGAACGGCCACAUUGGGACUGAGACACGGCCCAGACUCCUACGGGAGGCAGCAGUGGGGAAUAUUGCACAAUGGGGGAAACCCUGAUGCAGCGACGCCGCGUGAAGGAAGAAGUAUCUCGGUAUGUAAACUUCUAUCAGCAGGGAAGAUAGUGACGGUACCUGACUAAGAAG